GCUGAGAGACAGCUCAGUUGGUAGAGCAUGAGACUCUUAAUCUCAGGGUUGUGGGUUUGAGCCCCACGCUGGGCA
rnacentral:tRNA from 1 species